UUCCACAGCUUUCUUGAACUGCGCGGAACUGUACGUCGCCGCACCGGAGGCGAUGAUGCAAUCUUAUGCGGUUCAAUAAAGCUGUGGGA
rnacentral:pre_miRNA from 1 species